UCUGCGUUGCACUCACAUUCGUACAGUCAAUCCAUACAAGGGAAACGUUCCCCAAACAACAGACUUGGUUAUUCCUACUAUAUUCCAGGAAGCUGGCAAGGACAAUAUAGAAAUCAAAUAAAGGUAAUUGGAGACAAACAAGGAAGCGGAACAGCUGCAAUACUGGGACAACGAAAAGGCCUUCAAGACCUACAAGAACUACA
rnacentral:lncRNA from 1 species